rnacentral:rRNA from 1 species
CCUACGGGAGGCAGCAGUGGGGGAUAUUGCACAAUGGGGGAAACCCUGAUGCAGCGACGCCGCGUGGGUGAAGAAGUAUUUCGGUAUGUACAGCCCUAUCAGCAGGGAAGAAAGAAGACGGUACCUGACUAAGAAGCCCCGGCUAACUACGUGCCAGCAGCCGCGGUAAUACGUAGGGGGCGAGCGUUAUCCGGAUUCACUGGGUGUAAAGGGAGCGUAGACGGCCGUGCAAGCCAGGAGUGAAAGCCCGGGGCCCAACCCCGGGACUGCUCUUGGAACUGUGCGGCUGGAGUGCGGGGGGGGCAGGCGGAAUUCCUGGUGUAGCGGUGAAAUGCGUAGAUAUCAGGAGGAACACCGGCGGCGAAGGCGGCCUGCUGGACCGCGACUGACGUUGAGGCUCGAAAGCGUGGGGAGCGAACAGGAUUAGAUACCCGGGUAGUC